UACACAGUUAGAUACUACGCACUCACGUUACACAGUUAGAUGCUACACUCACGUUACACAGUUAGAUACUACCUACUCACGUUACACAGUUAGAUCCUACGCACUCACGUUACACAGUUAGAUCCUACGCACUCACGUUACACAGUUAGAUCCUACGCACUCACGUUACACAGCUACAUCCUACGCACUCACGUUACACGGUUAGAUACUAGGCACUCACGUUUACACCGUUAGAUCCUACGCACUCACGUUACACCGUUAGAUCCUACACUCACGUUACACAGUUAGAUACUACACACUCACGUUACACAGCUACAUCCUACGCACUCAUGUUACACAGUUAGAUCCUACGCACUCACGUUACAGUUAGAUCCUACACUCACGUUACACGGUUAGAUCCUACGCACUCACGUUACAGUUAGAUCCUACACUCACAUUACACAGUUAGAUCCUACACACUCACGUUACACAGUUAGAUCCUACGCACUCACGUUACACAGUUAGAUCCUACGCACUCACGUUACACAGUUAGAUCCUACGCACUCACAUUACACAGUUAGAUCCUACGCACUCACGUUACAGUUAGAUCCUACGCACUCACGUUACAGUUAGAUCCUACGCACUCACGUUACACGGUUAGAUCCUACGCACUCACGUUACACGGUUAGAUCCUAUGCACUCACGUUACACGGCUACAUCCUACGCGCUCACGUUACACCGUUAGAUCCUACGCGCUCACGUUACACCGUUAGAUCCUACGCGCUCACGUUACACAGUUAGAUCCUACGCACUCACGUUACACAGCUACAUCCUACGCACGCACGUUACACCGUUAGAUCCUACGCACUCACGUUACACCGUUAGAUCCUAUGCACUCACGUUACACCGUUAGAUCCUACGCACUCACGUUACACAGCUACAUCCUACGCACUCACGUUACACAGUUAGAUCCUACACACGUGUAUUCUACACACUCACGUUACGCAGUUAGAUCCGACACAUUCAUACCCUGCACUCUCAUCCUCCGCUGUUGCGUUCAGUUUCACUCUACACUGACGAACAAUAACAUUCUCCACUGUAACACUUACAUUCCACACCACCGCUUUAAAAACAGUCUGUGCGUUACAUUCUGCAUAAGCACAGUCCCGCGCUCUACAAUCUCUACUGUCGUCUUCUACAUUUUUGCGUAGUUGCUUUCUAACCUCGGAUUCGCCCGUAACGUGCCGUGAAGUUGUUGAUGCUCACUUUUAUUCUGAGCUGAUAUUCUGAAAUAUGUCACAUUCAGUCGCUGUUCCAUCAGUCCCGUUAAACGGUUUCUUUUACCCUGUUCCAUUCAUCACACCUCAGGUAGACAUUACCGUCUACCCGAUCUCAGUAUAUACCGCGUACGUCUACACAGACAUGUCGUGCACGGGUACGAUCAUUUUCAACACAUCACGUUAUACAGACUCGCGCUCUAUGGGAUCACGUUACACCGUUCUUCAUGGUCACUUUGUGCACGUUUAUACGUUCUACAGGAUCACAGCAUUUAUUUCUGCACGUUGAUCAGAUGCACCCUGGUCCUCCACAUUUCUACAAAAUUCCCGUCAUUGUGCAGUGAAAACGUUAUAAACAGCACUGAGAACGACGCUAAUCGAGUGUGUUCAUGACGCCAGUCCGUGUGAAUAAGUAUCUGUAUUUAUUUAUUUAUAUAUAUAUAUUUAUUUAUUAUUUAUUUAUUCUUUGUAUUUUC
ensembl:lncRNA